rnacentral:rRNA from 1 species
GACGAACGCUGGCGGCGUGCUUAACACAUGCAAGUCGAGCGGUAAGGCCCUUUCGGGGGUACACGAGCGGCGAACGGGUGAGUAACACGUGGGUGACCUGCCCUCAGCUCUGGGAUAAGCCUGGGAAACCGGGUCUAAUACCGGAUAUGACUCCAUGACGCAUGUUGUGGGGUGGAAAGCCUUGUGCGGCUGAGGAUGGGCCCGCGGCCUAUCAGCUUGUUGGUGGGGUGAUGGCCUACCAAGGCGACGACGGGUAGCCGGCCUGAGAGGCGACCGGCCACACUGGGACUGAGACACGGCCCAGACUCCUACGGGA